rnacentral:rRNA from 1 species
UACAGAGGUCUCAAGCGUUGUUCGGAUUCAUUGGGCGUAAAGGGUGCGUAGGUGGCGGGGCAAGUUGGAUGUGAAAUCCCGGAGCUUAACUCCGGAACUGCAUUCAAUACUGCCUUGCUCGAGUACUGGAGAGGAGAUUGGAAUUUACGGUGUAGCAGUGAAAUGCGUAGAUAUCGUAAGGAAGACCAGUGGCGAAGGCGGAUCUCUGGACAGUUACUGACACUGAGGCACGAAGGCCAGGGGAGCAAACGGG